rnacentral:lncRNA from 1 species
CUAGUGAACCCCUUCCUCAGCUCUGGGACUGAUUGUCUUCAAGCUGAGCACACACUGAGCACUGGGCCUGCCUUCUUCCUAACACAGGUUUUUGUAAGCUCCAGACAUUGGAUAAAGCAUUUUGAGGGAUAGGUGAAAACGAAAUCCUGCCCUUUACUCUUGAGAACUCACUCUGCUGUGGGAGGAGAGACAGGCAGGUAUAUCAAAGGGAAAAAUAGUAACAGUUCUGGUGGAGAGACCUGGUGAGCAACACCUUAAACCAAGUGAUGAAAGCUGAAAUCAGCAACACUGGGAUGAACCUGCAUCACGUAAUAGCGGAUGUGAUGCCCUGACAAGAGCACCAGUCCUGUUUGCAGCAUCACUGCCCCAGAUGCAUGCCUGAAUCUGUUCCUUAGGAUACAUCAGGAAACCCAAGCUGAGGAAUGUUCUACUAAAUAAAUGAUCUCUACUCUUCAAAAACAUGCGGGUCAAGUGACAGGUGCCGAGGAGAGGGAGAGGGUCUAGGAAGACCCUAGUUGGGACAAUUGGCAGCAUUCAAAUGUGGCCUGUGCAUUUCAUACUGGUACUGUUCAAUGUGAAAUUUCUUGAUUUUUGUAAGAUUCUCCCUGGGGCCUGAUAGCUUAAAGGGAUGAGUAACUCCUCCCUUCUCAGGCCCAGUCCCAAGGUGCAAGACCACUUGCAUCAGCAGCCUGUGCCAGCAAGAUAGCAGAAGCAGGAAGAGAGCCGGCCAGAAGACACGUACCCCUGAAGAUUGAGAAACAGGCCAUCCGGGUACAACGUAGCAAUUACGUCAGACUAGGACACUUCCUGUUUAAAGGAGACUAUAAAACCUUUGUCCUGUCCUCACUUGGGGCUGACGCCAUUUUAGGCCUCAGCCCGCCUGCACCCAGGCGCUCAUUAAAACAGCAUGUUGCUCCACAUCGCCUCGUGUUGUCUGUUGGCACGCUCUCGGGAUUCGAACCGAUACAAGAACCUUACAAUUUUCUUUAUGUAAGAGAAUGUCCUUGUUCUUAAGAAAAGCCAGCUGAAAUAUUUAGAGAGUAAGUUU